rnacentral:rRNA from 1 species
AGCUCCAAUAGCGUAUAUUAAAGUUGUUGCAGUUAAAAAGCUCGUAGUUGAAUUUCUGGCCAAUGCUGCACUGCGCAGUUUGCCGGUGUAGUGUUUGGUCAUCCGUAAGGGAAGCCAGUUCGGCCUUCACUGGUCGGCUGGGGGAACUUACAAUUUACUGUGAAAAAAUUAGAGUGUUUCAGGCAGGCAAUCGCUUGGAUACUCCAGCAUGGAAUAAUGGAAUAGGACUUUGGUCUAUUUAUUGGUUUGAGAUCAAAGUAAUGAUUAAUAGGGACAGUUGGGGGCAUUCGUAUUUAAUUGUCAGAGGUGAAAUUCUUGGAUUUAUUAAAGACGGACUUAUGCGAAAGCAUUUGCCAAGGAUGUUUUCA